CCAGCAGGUACUGGGAUGGGUGGAUAGCUGUGAGACAAAAGGGCUGAGCCUGCCAGUCCCUGUUUCAGCAGCUAAAGGAGCUGAACUCGAUGGAAACUCCACCACCUCCCUAUAAAAGCAUGAGAUGCCCGUGAAACUCUUGGUCCAGUUCUUCUCCUGAAGAGCUCAGCACAGCACUAAGGGGGUCACAGAAACCUCUGCCUUGUACCAAGGAGGGUUAAUUUUGAUGGACAAUGCAGUUCAGGGGAGUUUCAGGAAAAUCGUGUAGAAGGGUAAGAUGGGUGAAGAGGCUGGCAGUGUUUUCAGCUAAAGACCAGUGUCCACAAAGAGGUUUCAGAUCUGUUUUGUGAAUAAAAUAAAAUAAAAUAAAAUUUACGAAACAAGUUUAGGCUUGAUCUAAAUGAGGUUUUAGGUAGUCAGGUGAACUGUGGAUUUUCUGAUCUCUAUCCAACCCCUCCUGUCUUUGGUGUGUUUCAUACAGAAUAUGUUUUGCUUUAUCAGACCUCUAGAUUUGAUUUGUGCUGGUAUUGAUGCAGAAAUGAAGCCACUGCCCUACAACAGGUGUUGCAAUAAAACGCCUGUAAAGCAGUGGCCAGUUCUCUCUGCACUGACUUUCCCUUCAUCUGAAGGGCUGCUAUUUU